rnacentral:rRNA from 1 species
CAGCGCCACAAGUGGCAAUCUACUUUAUUUGGCCUAAAGCGUCCGUAGCUGGUUUUGUAAAUCUCUUGUGAAAUUGGUCAGCUCAACUGACCAGCGUGCAGGAGAGACUGCUUAACUAGGGACCGGGAGGAGUCAGAGGUAUGCUGUGGGGAGCGGUAAAAUGCUAUAAUCCUCGGUAGACCACCUGUGGCGAAGGCGUCUGACUAGAACGGGUCCGACAGUGAGGGACGAAAGCCAGGGGAGCAAACCGGAUUAGAUACCCGAGUAGUCC